GAUGAACGCUAGCAGCAGGCCUAAUACAUGCAAGUCGGACGGGAUUGGAGGAGCUUGCUCUUCCAUGAAAGUGGCGCACGGGUGCGUAACGCGUAUGCAACCUACCUUCUUCAGGGGGAUAGCCUCUCGAAAGAGAGAUUAACACCGCAUAACAUUAUUUAAUGGCAUCAUUGAAUAUCAAAUAUUUAUAGGAAGAAGAUGGGCAUGCGUGACAUUAGUUAGUUGG
rnacentral:rRNA from 1 species